UGAAUACGAGACGCUAAGGCGUCGAAGUAGUGUAUGUCAUACUUCCAAGAAAAGCUUGCACUGUCAUAGAUAAAAAACGCCUGUACCAUAACCGACACAGGUGGGUAGGUAGAGUAUACUAAGGGGCGCGAGAUAACUCUCUCUAAGGAACUCGGCAAAAUAACUCCGUAACUUCGGGAGAAGGAGUGCCUUAUUCGUAAGGUUGCAAUAACAAGAUCCAAGCAACUGUUUAUCAAAAACACAGGUCUCCGCUAAGUCGUAAGACGAUGUAUGGGGGCUGACGCCUGCCCAGUGCCAGAAGGUUAAAGAAGUUGGUUAGCAAUUGCGAAGCUGAUAACUGAAGCCCUGGUGAACGGCGGCCGUAACGAUAACGGUCCUAAGGUAGCGAAAUUCCUUGUCGGGUAAGUUCCGACCCGCACGAAAGGCGUAAUGAUUUGGAUACUGUCUCGGAGAGGGGCUCGGUGAAAUAGACUUGUCUGUGAAGAUGCGGACUACCUGCACCAGGACAGAAAGACCCUAUGAAGCUUUACUGUAACUUGAAAUUGAAAUUGGACUUUAUUCGCGCAGUAUAGGUGGGAGGCGUUGAUUAUAAUCUUGUGGGAUUAUUGGAGCCAUCAGUGAGAUACCACUCUUGUAAUGUUAGAUUUCUAACUUUGAAUCAUUAUCUGGUCAAAGAACAGUUUCAGGCGGGCAGUUUGACUGGGGCGGUCGCCUCCUAAACGGUAACGGAGGCGUACAAAGGUUUCCUCUGAACGGUUAGAAAUCGUAUCUAGAGUGUAAAGGCAUAAGGAAGCUUGACUGUGAGACCUACAAGUCGAGCAGGGACGAAAGUCGGUCUUAGUGAUCUGACGGUACUGAGUGGAAAGGCCGUCACUCAACGGAUAAAAGUUACUCUAAGGAUAACAGGCUGAUCUCCCCCAAGAGUUCACAUCGACGGGGAGGUUUGGCACCUCGAUGUCGGCUCAUCGCAUCCUGGGGCGGUAGUACGUCCCAAGGGUUGGGCUGUUCGCCCAUGAAAGCGGUACGCGAGCUGGGUUCAGAACGUCGUGAGACAGUUCGGUCCAUAUCCGGUGUAGGCGUUAGAAUAUUGAGAGGAGCCUUCUUUAGUACGAGAGGACCGAGAAGGACAUACCUCUGGUGUACCAGUUAUCGUGCCAACGGUAAGCGCUGGGUAGCUAUGUAUGGAGUGGAUAACCGCUGAAAGCAUCUAAGUGGGAAGCCCACCUCAAGAUAAGUAUUCUCC
rnacentral:rRNA from 1 species